rnacentral:rRNA from 1 species
UUCCGGUUGAUCCUGCCGGAGGCUACCGCUAUUGGAGUUCGAUUAAGCCAUGCGAGUCGAGAGUCUUAGGGACUCGGCGUACCGCUCAGUAACACGUGGGUAACCUGCCCUAUGCUGGGGAAUAACCUCGGGAAACUGAGAAUAAUACCCCAUAGUUCACCACGCCUGGAACGGUGGGUGGAUGAAAGCUCCGGCGGCAUAGGAUGGGCCUGCGACGUAUCAGGUUGUAGGGGGUGUAACGUACCCUCUAGCCAUCAACGCGUACGGGUGUUGGGAGACAUAGCCCGGAGAUGGAUUCUGAGACACGAAUCCAGACCCUACGGGGUGCAGCAGGCGCGAAAACUUGGCAAUGCGAGCAAUCGUGACCAGGGAACUCCAAGUGGCUGGGGUAAUACCCAGUUUUUUCUUGACUCUUCAAAGGUCUUGGAAUAAGGGGUGGGUAAGGACGGUGCCAGCCGCCGCGGUAAUACCGGCGCCUCAAGUGGUAGUCGCUUUUAUUGGGCCUAAAACGUCCGUAGCCGGUCUGGUGCAUUCGUGGGUAAAUCAACCCGCUCAACGGGUUGAAUUCUGCGAGCACGGCCAGACUUGGGACCGGGAGAGGUGUGGGGUACUCUCAGGGUAGGGGUAAAAUCCUGUCAUCCUGAGAGGACCACCUGUUGCGAAGGCGCCACACUAGAACGGAUUCGACGGUCAGGGACGAAACCUAGGGGCACGAACCGGAUUAGAUACCCGGGUAGUCCUAGGUGUAAACGCUGUGGACUUGAUGUUGGGGGUGCUCCGAGCACUCUCAGUGUCGAAGCGAAGGUGAUAAGUCCACUGCCUGGGGAGUACGAUCGCAAGGCUGAAACUUAAAGGAAUUGGCGGGGGAGCACUGCAACCUGAGGAUUGUGCGGUUUAAUUGGACUCAACGCCGGGA